GGUGCAAACUGUUUCAGCGGUAUGAGGAUACGCGAGAGAAAUUUUGAUAACUUUCAUCUGAAAAAGUGUCGUUCAUGGAAAGAAGAGAAAUGCGAACUUCUGUUAGCCGACGAGGAGAUCAAAGACGGAGAGCUAACGUUAGGCUAGCCAAAAAUAUGCUCUCCAACCGUUAUUAUUGUAUGCUAGCUUUGACAGAUAGUAGCUGAGUCCCUAAAACUGGCACUUGGCAACGAGGAAAAAGAGGCUUACUGUGGUUUCAAAGGUGAAACUUCAAAACGGAAAUGAAGUUUCCUUUUGGGGAGUCAUAAAGUUUUCCAAGCAGCUGGACCAACAGAAUGGCUCACGCCGUGGUCAUGUAAACGCGGAUGAUGAGGAUAUCAUGGGGGUCAUGGAGAGGAGCACUGAGGAACUGGACCCUGAGGAAUUCACCUGAACCGAGGACAUGACGUGUCAACUGAAAGUUUCCCACUUUACUCUGUACUGCCGAGGUCCAACUCCAGAUCAGAUCUUUUGCCGCUGACUUUGAAUUCUCGAGGUUUGGAAAGUGAAGACACUCUAAGGUCUUACCAAGAGAUGAGCCCCGACCCAGACCUCCUCCAAGCGGACUAGGGAUC